rnacentral:rRNA from 1 species
GCCACAAAGCUAGCUCAAACAUUAUUAGAAACUUUACACUAUAAAUUAUUCUUUAAUAUUCUAAACAUAUUAACCAAAUCAUUUGACCUUCCCAGUAUGGGCGACAGAAAAGAAAUCAAUUGAAGCUAUAGAGAAAGUACCGCAAGGGAAAGCUGAAAAAGAAGUGAAACAACCCAUUAAAGCAUGAAGAAGCAAAGACUACCCCUUGUACCUUUUGCAUCAUGAUUCAGCAAGUAAACUCGAGCGAAGAGACCUCUAGUUUGUACCCCCGAAACUUGACGAGCUACUUCGGGACAGCUUAUACCGAGCCAACCCGUCUCUGUGGCAAAAGAGUGGGAAGAUCCCUGAGUAGAGGCAAAAAACCUACCGAGUCAAGUAAUAGCUGGUUGUCCAAUCAAUGAAUAAAAGUUCAGCCCCGCCCGGCCCCCCUCAAAGCAGUUUGACUAAUAAAGAUACAUGAGCCUUGUGCGGAGGUUAAUCAGAGGAGGUACAGCUCCCCUGAUCAAGGACACAACCUUAUAAGGAGGUUAAAGAAUACAAUUGUUAAGGUCCCAGGUCUCAGUGGGCCUGAAAGCAGCCACCUGAUUAGAAAGCGUUAAAGCUCCGACCUCAUAAUUAAACCUAUUAUUUUAUUUUUUUAUCUUACCCCCUAUCCUCAUUGGACCUCUCUAUGCCUACCAUGGAAGAGAUUAUGCUGAAACGAGUAACAAGAAGAUUGAACUUCUCCACGCACAAGUGUAAGUCGAAUUGGACCAACCACCGACCAUUAACGGACCCAACAAAAGAGGGGCCCACACAUACACCACCCUCAGUCAAGAAAAACGUGUCGGAUUUUACCGUUACCCCCACACAGGAGUGCUAGAACAAGGAAAGACUAAAAGGAAGAAAAGGAACUCGGCAAGCACAAACCCCGCCUGUUUACCAAAAACACCGCCUCUUGCAUAUAAAAGUAUAAGAGGUCCCACCUGCCCUGUGACUCUAAGUUUAACGGCCGCGGUAUCCUAACCGUGCGAAGGUAGCGCAAUCAAUUGCCUUUUAAAUGAAGGCCUGUAUGAAUGGUAUAACGAGGGUUUAACUGUCUCUUUUUCCUAGUCAGUUAAACUGAUCUGUCCGUGCAGAAGCGGACAUUACAAUACAAGACGAGAAGACCCUAUGGAGCUUUAGACACUAGCCAAGUAUGAAUAAGCGGCCGCAUUAAAUGGCCCCAAGCACCCGUAGCCUUCUGGUAAUGUGUCUUAGGUUGGGGCGACCACGGGAGACAGAAAAGCUCCCGAGCAGAGCAGGGGACAUCCCUGAAACUAAGAGUAACAACUCUAAGUCACAAAAGUUUUGACUGAAGUGAUCCGGCCUAAUAGCCGAUUGACGAACCAAGUUACCCUAGGGAUAACAGCGCAAUCCUCUCCCAGAGUCCCUAUCGACGAGAGGGUUUACGACCUCGAUGUUGGAUCAGGACAUCCUAAUGGUGCAGCCGCUAUUAAGGGUUCGUUUGUUCAACGAUUAAAGUCCUACGUGAUCUGAGUUCAGACCGGAGUAAUCCAGGUCGGUUUCUAUCUGUAAGGCUACCACCCCUAGUACGAAAGGACCGGGAUGGAGGGGCCCAGGCUGACAGCAAGCCCCUUACUUACUUGCUGAAGACAACUUAAGCAAUCAAAAGUAAGCAACUUAACAGCUCGAGAAAAGAGCUGUUUUGUUUAUUCGC